rnacentral:sRNA from 1 species
CUCAGUGUCAACCAGCAGGCCUCACAUCUCUGUUUAAAUGGAAGAAGCUAAAGAGGGCCAAGGCAGCCACCAUCUCUGGGACAUUUGCAUCUGUUUUAUGCGGCCUGCAGACCCUGGAGAGAGUGAGGCUGCCGGAUGGAGCAGGAGCCAAAAGAGAUUUGAGGAGUGGUGUCUCCUGGUGACCUGCAAGGUCUCGGCACGACUCCCCACACUACCUUUCCCCUGUUAUCUGCUCAGAUCUGUGACUUCCUCCGCGGAGCCACAGUCCAUAGAAUCCUCGGCCAGCAGGUCCCCUAUGCAACCAAGGGCAACCAGUGGGUAGGAUACGACGACCAGGAAAGCGUCAAAAGCAAGGUCCAGUACCUGAAGGAAAGGCAGCUGGCGGGCGCCAUGGUAUGGGCCCUGGACCUGGAUGACUUCCAGGGUUCCUUCUGCGGCCAGGAUCUGCGAUUCCCUCUCACCAAUGCCAUCAAGGAUGCACUCGCUGCAACUUAGCCCUCUGUUCUUCUGCACACAGCACGAGGGCCAAGGAUGCCCUGUCCCCCUCUGGCUCCAGCUGGCCAGGAGCCUGAUCACCUGCCCUGCUGAGUCCCAGGCUGAGCCUCAGUCUCCGUCCCUUGGAGCCUAUGCAGAGGGCCACAACACACAGAUUUGAGCUCAGCCCUGGUGGACAGGGAGGUAGGGAUGGGGCUGUGGGGAUAGUGAGGCAUCGCAAUGUAAGACUCGGGAUUAGUACACACUUGUUGAUUAAUGGAAGUGUUUACAGACCCCCAAGCCUGGCAAGGGAAUUUCUUCAACUCCCUGCCCCC